rnacentral:lncRNA from 1 species
GUAUAGGACUUCUCCUUUUCUAUCAAGAUCAAUAGAUUCCAUCUAGAUGCAUCCUACUCCAAAUAGUAAAGCUGAACCAACAUAGCCAACAUACAUAGCAAGGAUCCGAAUGGCUAGAGAUCAAGGAAACGUGCAGUUAAACUAUGUAGCCUCGCUGCGAAUAGUCAACACAUUGUAAGUCAAAGGAUCAGUCACACCACUAC